AUGGCAUUGCCUGGGCUCGGCGGCCUCCCCGUGCGAUGGGCCUGGAGCAAACCCCAGCGCUGGGGAGGAGAAGGGUGGCGGGGACGAGCUGGGUGCUGGAGGAGAAGGUGCUGGUGCCGCAUUGGCCAAGAGCCCCAGGCUGGCUCCGGCGGAAACCUCUCCCCCAAGGCCUCAGAUCUCAUGAAUUUCUCCUUUUUUUAUGUUCUCAUUUGUUUUUUUGUGGGUUUUUUUGCGUUAGACACCGAGGAGCUUGACAUGCCUUUAUUUGCGAGUCGCGUCCUCGGCGGAUUUUCGGCUCCAUUUGUGACCUUAACCAUUAGAAGCAACCGGAGGCUGAAAUCGGAGCGGCUGAAGAGGGAGGGGGUGGCAGGGAGGGUUGCGCCGCACAGGUAUAAAAGGCUUUCACCUGAAUUCGAGUGCUCGGGAGAAAGGCUCCGGGGCUGCCGUGCCCCGGUUCCCCCCCUGCCGAAGCCGCCUCCAGCGCCGCGGCCGAGAGAGCGCCCGCUGGGAGGUUUUACAAUUAAAAAGGGCAGACUUCCCUCCCCCGAAACCCCCCACCUCUCCGCUCCCGGCUGGACACCGUGGGGAAAUAAAAGCCCAAAACGCUUUGGUUGUUUUUCCCUCCUCGCCGCAGCCUCCCUCGAGGCCGGCGCGGCGGUGGGGCAGGACGCAGGGCGCUUUGGGGGCGCGGGAGCCGGCAGCGUUCCCGGCCCCGCUGGGCGCUUCGCCCCCCCAUCGCCCGCCCCGGGACCCGGCACCCAGGUGGUCCCGGCCGGAGCAGGGGGCCGCACGCGGCACUGGGGGUGCGGAGCAGUUGCCGGGGCGACGGCAGCCUGUCCGUCCCCUCCUGCAACAUGGAAACCGCGGUUUCCAUGGAAACCUGUUUUUUUUCCUCCUUCUUUUUUGCCCCAAUUCUUCUCCUGCCGCCGCGUUCUUCAAUUUGCUUUUAAUGUUUGCGUUUUCGGCUUUGCCCCCCGCCGGCGAGCCGGCGACCCCCAGCCCGGCAGGGCCUGGUCCCCGCGGCGCGCGGGCCGAGCCCGGCGUUUUGGGAAGCAGUUGCCCCGGCAACCGAAACAGGGCGUUUCUGGCAGAGGUGGUCGCCAUGGGGACGGGGAUGCUGACGAAGGCUUGCGAGGCUGA
rnacentral:lncRNA from 1 species